rnacentral:rRNA from 1 species
CAGCCGCCACGGUAAUACGUAGGUGGCAAGCGUUACCCGGAAUUAUUGGGCGUAAAGCGCGCAUAGGCGGUCUUUUAAGUCUGAUGUGAAAGCCCACGGCUCAACCGUGGAGGGUCAUUGGAAACUGGAAAACUUGAGUGCAGAAGAGGAAAGUGGAAUUCCAUGUGUAGCGGUGAAAUGCGCAGAGAUAUGGAGGAACACCAGUGGCGAAGGCGACUUUCUGGUCUGUAACUGACGCUGAUGUGCGAAAGCGUGGGGAUCAAACAGGAUUAGAUACCCCCGUAGUCCCUGUCUCUUAUAA